AACGCACAUUGCGCCCCUUGGUAUUCCAUGGGGCAUGCCUGUUCGAGCGUCAUCUACACCCUCAAGCCUUGCUUGGUGUUGGGCGUCUGUCCCGCCUUUGCGCGUGGACUCGCCCCAAAUGGAUUGGCAGCGGUCCUACGCCUCAGUCUCGCGCAGCACAUUGCGUCGACGUCUUGGGGCGGUCCGCGACCCAUGAAGCUUACUUUUACCGUCUUUGACCUCGGAUCAGGUAGGGAUACCCGCUGAACUUAA
rnacentral:misc_RNA from 1 species